AUUGAACGCUGGCGGCAUGCUUUACACAUGCAAGUCGAACGGCAGCACGGACUUCGGUCUGGUGGCGAGUGGCGAACGGGUGAGUAAUACAUCGGAACGUGCCCAGUUGUGGGGGAUAACUACUCGAAAGAGUAGCUAAUACCGCAUGAGAACUGAGGUUGAAAGCAGGGGAUCGUAAGACCUUGCGCAACUGGAGCGGCCGAUGGCAGAUUAGGUAGUUGGUGGGAUAAAAGCUUACCAGGCCGACGAUCUGUAGCUGGUCUGAGAGGACGACCAGCCACACUGGGACUGAGACACGGCCCAGACUCCUACGGGAGGCAGCAGUGGGGAAUUUUGGACAAUGGGCGAAAGCCUGAUCCAGGAAUGCCGCGUGCAGGAUGAAGGCCUUCGGGUUGUAAACUGCUUUUGUACGGAACGAAAAGCUUCGGGUUAAUACCCUGGAGUCAUGACGGUACCGUAAGAAUAAGCACCGGCUAACUACGUGCCAGCCGCCGCCGUAAUAC
rnacentral:rRNA from 1 species